GACGGAGGAUGCAAGUGUUAUCCGGAAUCACUGGGCGUAAAGCGUCUGUAGGUGGUUUAAUAAGUCAACUGUUAAAUCUUGAGGCUCAACCUCAAAAUCGCAGUCGAAACUAUUAGGCUAGAGUAUAGUAGGGGUAAAGGGAAUUUCCAGUGGAGCGGUGAAAUGCGUAGAUAUUGGGAAGAACACCGGUGGCGAAGGCGGCUCACUGGCUCGUAACUGACGCUCAUGCACGACAGCGUGGGGAUCAAACAGG
rnacentral:rRNA from 1 species